CCGCCUGGGGAGUACGGUCGCAAGACUUAAACUCAAAGGAAAUGACGGGGGCCCGCACAAGCCGCGGAGCAUGCGGAUUAAUUCGAUGCAACGCGAAGAACCUUACCAAGGCUUGACAUAUACAGGAAAAGCGUAGAAAUACGCUCCCCGCAAGGUCUGUAUACAGGUGGUGCAUGGUUGUCGUCAGCUCGUGUCGUGAGAUGUUGGGUUAAGUCCCGCAACGAGCGCAACCCUCGUCCUAUGUUGCCAGCACGUAAUGGUGGGAACUCAUGGGAGACUGCCGGGGUCAACUCGGAGGAAGGUGGGGAUGACGUCAAAUCAUCAUGCCCCUUAUGUCUUGGGCUUCACGCAUGCUACAAUGGCCGGUACAAAGGGCUGCAAUACCGCAAGGUGGAGCGAAUCCCAUAAAGCCGGUCUCAGUUCGGAUUGGGGUCUGCAACUCGACCCCAUGAAGUCGGAGUCGCUAGUAAUCGUAGA
rnacentral:rRNA from 1 species